UACGUAGGGGGCAAGCGUUAUCCGGAUUUACUGGGUGUAAAGGGGGCGCAGACGGCGAUGCAAGCCAGGAGUGAAAGCCCGGGGCCCAACCCCGGGACUGCUCUUGGAACUGCGUGGCUGGAGUGCAGGAGGGGCAGGCGGAAUUCCUGGUGUAGCGGUGAAAUGCGUAGAUAUCAGGAGGAACACCGGUGGCGAAGGCGGCCUGCUGGACUGCAACUGACGUUGAGGCCCGAAAGCGCGGGGAGCAAACAGG
rnacentral:rRNA from 1 species